CUCCCUCUGGGUCAGACUCUGGCUCAAACUGGUAGGGUUGUACGAGUGAUCUUCUUGCAGCCAUGACCGAGCCAGUGUAAACAUUAGCACAUGGCUAUCGGAGCACAGCCACAGCCCCUUCCAGAGAGAUGGGUGUAAAGUGGACGUGGCUUAGGUGCAGCUCAUUUCAUUAAAGAGACAUGGAGCCAAAACGGAGGAUUUUGAGCGGCGCUGUUAUUAGCUGAUAAAAAGAGCACUAAAAUAAUUGAUCCAAAUCGAAUUUUGACCGAAGGACGUCACAGACAUGCUUUUAACACACCAGGGGACUAUUUUAAGUUGUGUGAAAUUGGCA